UACGGAGGGAGCUAGCGUUGUUCGGAAUUACUGGGCGUAAAGCGCACGUAGGCGGCGACUCAAGUCAGAGGUGAAAGCCCGGGGCUCAACCCCGGAACUGCCUUUGAAACUAGGUUGCUAGAAUCUUGGAGAGGCGAGUGGAAUUCCGAGUGUAGAGGUGAAAUUCGUAGAUAUUCGGAAGAACACCAGUGGCGAAGGCGACUCGCUGGACAAGUAUUGACGCUGAGGUGCGGAAGCGUGGGGAGCAAACAGG
rnacentral:rRNA from 1 species